UACGAAGGGGGCUAGCGUUGCUCGGAAUCACUGGGCGUAAAGCGCACGUAGGCGGACUCUUAAGUCGGUGGUGAAAUCCUGGAGCUCAACUCCAGAACUGCCUUCGAUACUGGGAGUCUCGAGUUCGGGAGAGGUGAGUGGUACUGCGAGUGUAGAGGUGAAAUUCGUAGAUAUUCGCAAGAACACCAGUGGCGAAGGCGGCUCACUGGCCCGAUACUGACGCUGAGGUGCGAAAGCGUGGGGAGCAAACGGG
rnacentral:rRNA from 1 species